CGCAGGACAAGAAACCGCCACAUGAAUCGAACCCGUAUUCUGCACUUGGAGCCAGAGAGGAAAAGCUGUAUGAGGGUAUUGGAGACCAGACCAAAACAGGUGAGGCGCUGGAAAACCCGUCACAGAAAUCGAACACUUCUGGUUCAGUUGGCAAGAACGAGGAAACUCCCUAUGAAGAAAUAGACUGAAGCACAGUUUCACAGUUUAUGGCUAGAGAUGCUGAUGUCAAAAAGAAAACAACUGAAGAAAAACAUAGUGAACGUUUUGUUUGUCUAAUUGUGUUUAGCGACAGUUGCUUUAAGUACUCAAUUUUAUUUGCAAAUAGUAUUUAACAUGGCACUAUUGUGUAGCGACCUGUGAAACUUGUAUGGCUAACAAAGUGAUCUCAGAAACUUAAUUAUGAAAAUAACCCACUAACUCACGAGUUAUAUUUUCCAUGGCUAUCUGUAUUACUUUUUUCUGGACGCAUUUUGCACAGUCAGCAAAUUAAGUGAAACUUGCUUCUUACUCAAGGCAGUAUAGCAAAAGAGACAUAGCAAAUUGCAAAACUGUAUGUAAUAAAACAAAUAACAUAGCAAAAAUGUAGAAGGAUAUAAUUAGUGGAACUAUUUUAAAUUCAGUAAACAUAAGUUAGGAAACACUAUUUUAAUCGUAUGCCUCAGUAGGGACUACUCUAUCUAUUAGGCAUGAUAUUUACCUUUCUUUGAAUAUCGGCAAUAUUAGUGGUAGAAUCAGAAUUAGGUCCACACAAAUAAGCUGCUGUUCGACUGUGUUUAUUUUAUUGCAGACAGUUUUAUAGUGCAAAUUAAUAUUAUUAGAUUGAAGUUGAUAGAUGAGGGCAUUUAGUUCGCUAAGAUGUGUAACUUGUUCACAUUGAAGACUUCUUUGUGGUAAUUCCAACCCCUGCAAAUACAUGUAGCACGUUUAGUGUAAAAUGGGUUUAGUCCGGCCAGUUUUAGUAGGUGUAUUUGUUAAAAACCAAAAUCAUGUGAGAAAGAACUGAACAGGGGUUGUCUUUUUCAGAAGAUAUUGUAACACACACACCCAACCCCAACUCCAACCCCACCCUCCCCCACCCAACCCCACCUCGAUAUGCAAAGUUGAAUAAACCAAAUACAAGGGUCUACUGAUAUUAAUAAAAGUAACCUAACUGAAAGUGUUGUGCUGGGUAUAAAACACAUUUACUAUUUAACACUGUUACACGAUUCCGGAUGGUUUACGGUUGCAUUCUUCUGACCCACUAGGAUCGAUCCCCGUCGGUGGGUCCAUUGAACUAUUUCUCGUUCCAUCCAGUGAACCACGACUGGUAUAUCAAAGGCCGUGGUAUGUGCUAUCCU